AGUACAAAGUGCAGCUGUUGUUACAUUGUAGUAAAACAAUAAAGAGCCACACUUGAAAUCUAGAGCAAAACAAUAACAUUUAACAAGAAAAAGAUGUGGUUGUCACAGCAGAUGUUCAAUCCCGCAUGCCAUCUGCAGCAAGCGCAGCCGGCAUCUCCACUCGGAGCGCACCAGGACACGCCCUUACUCGCUCUUCCCGCAUCGCAGCCGCGCGCCUGCACAUCUGCAGGCAAUCAGCAAUCAACACACUUGGUUCUGAUAAGGACAUACGGAAUAAAGACCAGCGGACCCGAAGAUCCAGUGCCGGAAUCUAGUUAACUGUUGUAUGUUCCUUCACUAUCCUGUGAUCGACCUGUGUGCCUCGACUUUCCACCGGACUUUGGACUGCUUCACUCGAUCCUCGACCCACAUUUGGACACGGACCUUGUCACCUCUCUCCAGCCCCGACAUCUCGCAUGCCCACCGACUGCCUUCUUACUUUGCCCCUCUGGAUUGUCGAAGGAUUCAGCCAACACGCAUGUACAAUAACCUCUGGUAACAUUCAUAUUGCUAAUUCUUCACAUCGUCUUGCACCAUUCAUUUUGAGUAGCAUACACACUCCAACAUAUCAUCAGCUUCAAUAAACCUAUUGAA